AUUUUACACCUGCCAACAAAAUGUCUACUGAACUGGGAACUGAAGCAAUGCAGUCAUAGGAAUGAUGAUCUACCUUUUUUUGUUGCUGAAGAAGAUUCGCCCUGAGCUAACACCUGUGCCAAUCUUCCUGUUUGUAUGUGGGUUGCCACCACAGCAUGGCCACUGAUGAGUGGUGUCGGUCUGUGCCCAGGAACUGAACCCAGGCCACUGAAGAUAAGUGCUCUGAACUUUACCACUGGGCCAUGGGUCCAGCCCCUACCAUAUUUUUUUAAGAUAAUAAUUUUGUGUAUGGGAUUAGAAGAACAUCAGAGUGAAGAAUAAAUGAACUAUACCAUGAGUUCCACAUUAUCAAAGAAUUACCAUUGGAAGAAAUUCAAAAUAUCACUGUUUAAUAUCUUAUCUGUUUCACCAAUACCCUUCUAAGUGGUCUCAGCUUUCCCUUGAACAUCUGCAAGGGAAGGGAACUAACUCAUUACCUUCUAGAAUGGCCUAUGCUAUCUUUAACUGAAUUUAUCAGAAUACUUUGUCAACAUCUCUUACCUUGAGAUUUCUAUCCAUGGUGCAAUUGUAUUUCUCAUGACCACAAAUGUGUCUAUUCUGUGCACAUGAAAAACUUUUCCAGUAGAAGAAAUUUAUAAUUUCUCAUCUAUACAGGUUAAAUACUGCUACUUUUCAACUGUUUCUCAAUGUGAUGCCAAGGACUGUCACUAUUAUUGUUUCUUUCCUUUUCCACACAGUAAAGUAUAUCUAUAUUUAUAAAGCUCCAAUUUACAUAAAUAAUACAACACAUUUUUUACAGGGUUUAUUUCCUGGUCUACCUUAUAUAUUGAUGUUUCUUAAUAAAGUAAAUUAUUACUUAACAUAGAUUAUAUCCACAAAGGGAAUAAUACAACAUGUUUAGUGACUAACUCAAUGAAAACUAUGCAUAUUUUACAUAAAAUGGUAAUAAGUUUUUGAAUAUACAGAAUGAGUGCAGAAGCUUUUAUUAUAGAUAAGAACUAAUAAUUAUAAAGAGUUCAAUUUUCCCAAAUUAUUUAGUAGAACUAAUGUAAUUUCACUAUCAUGAUUUUUCUUAGAACUGUAUAAUGAGACAAUAGAUAUCACCUGGAAACAAAAAGGUCAAGGACUGAGAAAAAUACAUCCUUCAGAUCAAUGGCUGAAAACCAAGUGUCAGAGACUGUCUUGACCUGUUCCAGUAAGGAUCGCCAGCUGGUACAGCUGCAAUGCAUCCUAUCAUUUGAUGAAUUCCGCUCCCCUGCUUCUUUGUUUGCUACAGUUCUGUGGGAUCCAUGAACACAAGCCCCACUGGCCACCAGAGUCAGGUGAUCAACAGGUGCACCCUCACGGUUGCGCCAUGUAAACCACGGUGCCAGCCAUGUGCACAAGCUUCUUCCUGGGAGACACUGGUGACCUGGAGCAGAGGGAAUUGCUCCACGUGUAGCUGUAGAUUUGGCGUGUCCAUGAUAGGAGUUUCCAUCUGGGAUCGAAAUAUAUGCUGCCAAAGUAAGCCUAGGAAGGCGGCUUGUAUGGGUUUCCCAUCUGGGAGCUCUGAUACCAGGCCAGCAAUCUCCUGGGAGACCUUCCAUUGGGUCACAGCCAGACCUCGGGUUGCUAAUUUCAGUAUUUAUUGUUAGCGUGAAACCAACAAGACGUUAAGUGAGGUGUAGAACAUCCACAUGGCCUUCUCUAGUGGGUGGGCAAUGAUGAUUUAGGGCCAAGCUCUUCGCAUCAGGUAUUUGAUGCUGGAUUUUGCCAUUUAUCAUGUGUUUGACAUUCUGAAAAUUGCUUAAUUCCUCUAAGC
rnacentral:lncRNA from 1 species